AGAAGAGUUUGAUCCUGGCUCAGGAUGAACGCUAGCGAUAGGCUUAACACAUGCAAGUCGAGGGGCAGCAUAAUUAUAGUAAUAUAAUGGUGGCGACCGGCGCACGGGUGAGUAACACGUAUGCAACCUACCCAUAACAGGAGGAUAGCUCGUCGAAAGGCGGAUUAAUACUCCAUAAUACAGGGAACCCGCAUGGGUAUAUUUGUUAAAGAGCGCGAGCUUGGUUAUGGAUGGGCAUGCGUUCCAUUAGUUAGUUGGUGAUGGUAACGGCACACCAAGACAACGAUGGAUAGGGGUACUGAGAGGUUUAUCCCCCACACUGGGACUGAGACACGGCCCAGACUCCUACGGGAGGCAGCAGUGAGGAAUAUUGGUCAAUGGUCGGAAGACUGAACCAGCCAAAUCGCGUGAAGGAAGACGGUAUUAUGUAUUGUAAACUUCUUUUAUAAGGGAAUAAAGUGCCUCAUGUAUGGGGUUUUGUAAGUACCUUAGGAAUAAGCAUCGGCUAACUCCGUGCCAGCAGCCGCGGUAAUACGGAGGAUGCGAGCGUUAUCCGGAUUUAUUGGGUUUAAAGGGUGCGUAGGCUGGCUAAUAAGUCAGCGGUGAAAACUUGUCGCUUAACGAUAAGCCUGCCGUUGAAACUGUUAGUCUUGAGAGUGAACGAGGUAGGCGGAAUUAGUGGUGUAGCGGUGAAAUGCAUAGAUAUCACUAGGAACCCCGAUAGCGCAGGCAGCUUACCAGGCCACGACUGACGCUGAAGCACGAAAGUGUGGUUAUCAAACAGGAUUAGAUACCCUGGUAGUCCACACAGUAAACGAUGAUUACUAGCUGUUUGCGAUAUACAGUAAGCGGCUGAGCGAAAGCAUUAAGUAAUCCACCUGGGGAGUACGCCGGCAACGGUGAAACUCAAAGGAAUUGACGGGGGCCCGCACAAGCGGAGGAACAUGUGGUUUAAUUCGAUGAUACGCGAGGAACCUUACCCGGGCUCGAACGGCUGAUGCAUAUAGGAGAGAUUUUAUAGUCGCAAGACAUUAGUCGAGGUGCUGCAUGGUUGUCGUCAGCUCGUGCCGUGAGGUGUCGGCUUAAGUGCCAUAACGAGCGCAACCCUUACCGUUAGUUACCAUCAGGUUAAGCUGGGGACUCUAACGGGACUGCCACCGUAAGGUGUGAGGAAGGUGGGGAUGACGUCAAAUCAGCACGGCCCUUACGUCCGGGGCUACACACGUGUUACAAUGGGUGGUACAAAGGGCAGCUACUUAGUGAUAAGAUGCUAAUCUCUAAAACCACUCCCAGUUCGGAUUGGAGUCUGCAACCCGACUCCAUGAAGCUGGAUUCGCUAGUAAUCGCGCAUCAGCCAUGGCGCGGUGAAUACGUUCCCGGGCCUUGUACACACCGCCCGUCAAGCCAUGAAAGCCGGGGGUACCUAAAGUACGUAACCGCAAGGAUCGUCCUAGGGUAAAACUGGUAAUUGGGGCUAAGUCGUAACAAGGUAGCCGUACCGGAAGGUGCGGCUGGAACACCUCCUU
rnacentral:rRNA from 1 species